rnacentral:snRNA from 1 species
GAUAAAGAUGCUCUUCAUGUUAAA